ensembl:lncRNA
AUGCACAGGAGAUACCGAACCAGCUCCCCCCCCACCACCACCCUUCCAUCCACCUCCUCUUCCUCCAUCUUUCAGCUUCAUCUAUCAAAUGUGAGGACAGAUGAGCAGCAGCGAGAAGCUCUAGGGGGUGAUGGUGACAUCGGCAGCGUUCAGGUCAGUGUCCUCUCUGGACACACGCACCUGUCAAGCAAGAUGGCACAAAUCACAUGUGACAUAAGAGAAAACAGGGCAGAAUGUCCAAGGCCAAGAGCGUGACACACUGCAGCCUGUGGAGCACCGGACAUGUGAUUUGUACCAUACACAUCUUUAAUUAUGAGGUAACACUGUUAUGAUUAUGACAUCAGCAUCCGAUUUGCUGUUGUUCAGAGUAAAACAACUUUUUGUUAAGGAAGUAAACUUUUACACGGGCACACAAGAUGAUCGACUUUCCUUUUGAUGUUUUUGCUGUCACCGCGUGCAUUAAAUAGCAAGAUAUAGUGGUUUAUUUGAAAAACGUUGACUUGAAAACAGGGCAGCGUAAACAUGGUAUAGGGAAACACACUGCUGGACUGGAGCUCCUAAAGGAGUUGAUUUCAGCUUCACUUCUAAAAGUCUCUUUUAAAGCUUAAUGGCCUUGAUUACAAGAGUCUAAGUGCUGAAAGAAAGAGAGGCGAUCACUCGCUCUCAUCAGCUCAUGCUCAAACGAAUGCAAACUCUGCGAAUAUAAUUAACUAAAUUAAAGCGCUGAGCCCACAAGUUCUUCCCCUGCAAGCCCGGCUCAUUUACAUGCCGGAUGUUUGUAAUUUAAAAGAAGAGGCCUUUGGUUUCUCUGUGUGUUUGGGAAAAAUAUGAAGGCUGGGACUGGGGGGAUGAAGAAAGAGAGAAGGAGCGAAGAAAAUUAGUCAAGUUGCAGAAUUUAGGAGCAAUAAUAUGCAAAAAGCUGAGGAGCAUGUUUUCAUAACAGCCCUGUGGUUAUGAGUGAAUCGUUAAUUAUUAAUGGGAUCUUUCACCCUCUUUGUUUCAUCCUAACGUAUUCCAAAAGAAGAACAAUCUGAGAAACUUCGAAAGAGCAGCGUCUGUAUAUUUUACAAAUAACACAAUGAAUUCAUGCCCCCGAUACAUAUCAAAUGCGCGUCGCUGAAAUGUCACGCGCUUGGUGUGCAGACAGGUGGAAAUACUUAAAUGAGUAAAUGUGCUGUAACUUAAAUGUUUACCACAGUAAUCCGAGUUAAAGUUGUAGUGUUUUUCCGAGUACAAAGUGGGAAACGCGAUGUGU